UGGGGAAUAUUGGGCAAUGGGCGAAAGCCUGACCCAGCGACGCCGCGUGAGUGAAGACGGUCUUCGGAUUGUAAAACUCUGUUGAUAGGGAAGAUAAUGACGGUACCUAUCGAGGAAGUCACGACUAACUACGUGCCAGCAGUCGCGGUAAUACGUAGGUGACAAGCGUUAUCCGGAUUUAUUGGGUGUAAAGGGUGUGUAGGCGGGCAGGCAAGUCAGAUGUGAAAAUUAUGGGCUCAACUCAUAACCUGCAUUUGAAACUGUCUGUCUUGAGGGUCGGAGAGGUAAACAGAAUUCCCGGUGUAGCGGUGAAAUGCGUAGAUAUCGGGAGGAAUACCGGUGGCGAAGGCGGUUUACUGGACGACAACUGACGCUGAGACACGAAAGCGUGGGGAGCAAACAGG
rnacentral:rRNA from 2 species